UACGGGGGGGGCAAGCGUUGUUCGGAAUUACUGGGCGUAAAGGGCUCGUAGGCGGCCAACUAAGUCAGACGUGAAAUCCCUCGGCUUAACCGGGGAACUGCAUCUGAUACUGGAUGGCUUGAGUUCGGGAGAGGGAUGCGGAAUUCCAGGUGUAGCGGUGAAAUGCGUAGAUAUCUGGAGGAACACCGGUGGCGAAGGCGGGUCUCUGGACAGUUCCUGACGCUGAGGCACGAAGGUCAGGGGAGCAAACGGG
rnacentral:rRNA from 1 species